rnacentral:lncRNA from 1 species
AUACCCACGCCACUCACGCACAGUCCUGCCUAAGCUAAGCUAAACAGCAGCGAGCAAUGGCGUCCACCUCCUGCUUCCUCCACCAGUCCACCGCGCGCCUGGCCGCCUCGGCGCGCCCUGCGCCCGCCGUCGGGCGCACCCAGCUUUUCGUCUGCAAGGCGCAGAAGAAUGACGAGGCUGCAUCUGACGCUGCCGUCGUCACCAGCCGGCGCGCCGCGCUGUCCCUCCUCGCCGGUGCCGCCGCCAUCGCCGUCAAGGUCUCCCCCGCCGCCGCCGCCUACGGA